rnacentral:rRNA from 1 species
GACGUAGGAGGCGAGCGUUGUCCGGAUUCAUUGGGCGUAAAGAGCACGCAGGCGGUUUGGCAAGUCGGAUGUGAAAGCCCGGAGCUCAACUCCGGACCUGCAUCCGAAACUGCCCGACUAGAGGUAGGUAGGGGAGAUCGGAAUUCCUGGUGUAGCGGUGAAAUGCGUAGAUAUCGGGAGGAACACCAGUGGCGAAGGCGACUUCCUGGCCUGUUCUUGACGCUGAGGCGCGAAAGCUAGGGGAGCAAACGGG